ACUCAGUUGUUGCUUCUGACUGUCACUUUAUCACUGUGAUUACUUCUUUACAGAUCCUGGAAAAGAGAAAGAAUUGAAGUCUCCAGCUGCCACAAAAGACAAAGAGCACACUAAAGAAAAAGAAGAAAAGAAUCCUACAGCUUUAAAAGAAAAAGAGUCUCUGAAAGGAAAAAAUCCCAAUCCAGAGGGGGCGAAGGAGAAAGAGCCUGGUAAAAGAAAAGAUGUGAAGCCUCCAGCAGUUUUGAAGGAAAAGGAGUCUUUAAAAGGAAAAGAAAUGAUGACUUCAACUUCCAUAAAGGAAAAAGCUGUGGUGAAAAAGGAAGAGGAGAAGAAAGAAGAGAAAACUAAACAACAAAAGACAGCUUCCACCAAGAAAUCAGAGCACGAAGCUGUCAAACAUGAGAAAGGCGUUCCAUUAACAAAACCAGGUAGGCAUCCAGCAUCUUAUGCGCUUGUUACUUUUGAAACU
rnacentral:lncRNA from 1 species